rnacentral:lncRNA from 1 species
GCAAGAGAAAGAGAAAAGGGAGGUCUCAGAAUCUUUUAAACAAUCAGAUCUCCUUUGGACUAAUGAGUGAUAACUCACUCAUCACCAAGGGGAUGAUGGUAAACCAUUUAUGAGGGAUCUGGCCCCGUGAUCCAAUCACUUCUCACCAGACCCCACCUCCAACAUUGGGAAUCAUAUUUCAACAUAAGAUUUAGAAGGAACAUCCAAACCAUACCAUCCAGUAAGAGAUGAGGCUGUGUGAAGCCAAUGACAAGGCUUAAUAGGACAGUUACACACUGACCCUUAGAGUAUGGCACAAGAUCUUGACAUCUCUAGAAGAUAAUUAUACACAUUCGAAAAUCUUGCUACUAUUACCGUCUUAGAAACUUGCCAUCGGUUCUCCAUGCAGCCAGGACUGCUCAUUAAAAGUAAGUUCAGAUGAGCCCAUAAGGCAUCCAUUGUAAAAUAGAGUAAUACAUUUAAAAAGUGGCCCAAGAGGGCACAGAGGUCACAUGGAAGCUGGACAUGCAGAUCACAAAACUCCUAUGUCAUCCUUCACUGUUACACUGAUACCUCUCUGUUAGAUAACACCUAUGGCCUCAUUGAGAUGUCCUAUACCUAGAUGAUGGAGGAUGAAAAAGCUCAAAGUUAGUGCAAGGAUGAAUUAGCUCAGUAUGGGUCUGCAUGUCAUGGAGUGCUGCUGCACAAUUGUUCCAAGUAGGCGUGGCUUUGAAAGCCUAUGGAGAGGAAGGAAUAUGUCCCCAGCAGGCAGAAUUUGAGCGGUGUACCCAAUCAUCCACUUAGUGUGGAAACAGAAUUAACCUGGGGUAAAGAUAUGCACGAUUAUAAGGGCAGUCUGGGGAGAAGUCACAAAGAUGUACCUGUAAACCAUAAAAUAUAGUGCUCAGAUAUCUGCAUCACAGCUUAAUCUCCAUCAGAGAGUAUGGAAUCACCAAGUGCACAUAACACCUCAGCCAUUAAAUGCUAGCUAGUCUUUGUCCUUAAGUAUUCCAGUGCUUUACCAUGAGAUCAUGGAAUAAAUAGUCAUGGUGGCAUAGAGACUGUGUAUGGGUCCAGCAGCAUGGAUUCUCUGGCAAGCUAAUUUGAUCUACGUCUGGCUGCUACUGAGAACUUCAUCUGCCAGUAACACAGAAUGGUGCUCAGUCCAUAAUAAAGCACACAUAGAAGACAGCAAAGCAUUUGGUGUCAAUUUGAUUAUAAUGAACUCAUUAGGAUCUGGAAAAGGCAGUGAUUCAUCUUAAAUGUGAUUGUAAUGUACUCUAGAAAUGCCUUUUCCUUUCUUUGCGCUGUUGUUCAGCCAGCACCACUAUUUAAAUACUUAUACCAUGUCUGAUCUACCAACAUGGAAGCUCCUCUAACUAAAGUUUUCAAGCCAAUGAUGCUUUAUAGCAAACAUGCUGCAGUGGUGUGCACAUGACCACAGUUCAGCCACAAACUACACUAUCUUGAAACUGCUUCUCUGAUAAAGCAGGGGAAGAGCCUUUUGAAAAAAACAGUUGAGAAGCCAGCUUGAAAAUGAAACUAUAAGAGGAUGUGAUUCUCUCAUUCAGAAUGUGGUAUAAUUCUUAAACCGGUGGCCCUGACAUACUGCUUUGUUUCCAGCAGAUGGAAUACAUCAGUCUGGUCAUGAAGGAGUGGAAGUAUCAGUGAUCCCACUCACCAGUACACCCAGGGACCACCUGAGGCAUUUGUGUUUCCUGUUCUCUCAUCAUUAUGCUCUCUCAGUCUAAAGUGGGUCACUUCCACAAAGAGAUGUAGUAAGAGUAUCACUAGACUUAAAGCUAUAACUGCUGCCUGGAGAUUUGGGGCUCUUUGUUUCAGUAGACCAGCAAGUGCAGAAGGAAGUUACCAUACUAAAAAAGUUUACUUUAUCAGGACACAGAACUUAACUUGACAACCAGAGUCUUACAUUUAAAAAUACCUGAAUAAAACUCACUCACUAACUCAGAAGAAAUUUGAAAGACUAUGAAAAUCUUUGAAUACAAUGUAGAAGUUUUUAUUCCAAAACAGUGAAAAGGAGAGAGAGUAGAAGAGGAGAGAAGAGAGGAAGGAAGAAAAGGAGAGAAGAUGAGAAAAAAAAGCAAGUAGUGUCUUAAAUGGGAGAAAAAGUGAUAAGGAAAUAGUUUAAUUUAUUAAAGUCAAAGUUCAAUAAAAGUAAAUUAACUGC